rnacentral:rRNA from 1 species
UACGGAGGGUGCAAACGUUGCUCGGAAUCAUUGGGCGUAAAGCGCACGUAGGCGGACCGCUAAGUCGGAUGUGAAAGCCCUCGGCUUAACCGAGGAAGUGCAUUCGAAACUGACAGUCUUGAGUAUGGAAGAGGGUCGCGGAAUUCCCGGUGUAGAGGUGAAAUUCGUAGAUAUCGGGAGGAACACCAGUGGCGAAGGCGGCGACCUGGGCCAAUACUGACGCUGAGGUGCGAAAGCGUGGGGAGCAAACAGG